GAACUAAUUUAUUAAGCCAUAUAUAGUCAGAUGUUACUUUGUCCACUGCCAGAUAAGCAGACACUUCAAGUCAUCAAGGAGAGAGCUCGCAAAUGUUAGAAUAAAAAGAUUGACAAACGUUAAACAUCAUAAUGAAGUGUUAGUAGUGUACAUUUCCCUUGCGUAGUCCAAAUUUCUUCCUACUGUGACCUUUUGUUAGACACAAAAACGUUUGAUAUUCUAUCUCUCUGAAAACAACAGAGUUCCGGUUCCGGCCAUGCUUUUUUUAUUAGUUCCCGUUCCAGCCGGAACCGGAACUCUAAAAAAUCAGGGUUCCGGCCGGAACUAACCCCUACAAAAUUGCCGAUAUUUUCCCAGAAUGACACCCGGACUACCCCACCACAGACAGACCUGACAAUUUAUCUUCACAUCUCUAGUAUAUUCCAGUGUGGAAAGUUUGUACCAUGUGGCCCUGACUGGAAAGUUUGGAAAUUGCGAACGAGAUUUCAAAAAUUUAAUAGUAAAUAUAUAGAAAGCAUCAAAAUUGCACGCCUGAUAUCUUGGCUGCACAAUACAAACUUUCCACACUGGCAUGUGGCCAAUAUCUCGGCCGUGCAAUUUUGAUGCUUUCUAUAUAUUUACUAUUAAAUUUUCGAAAUCUAGGCCACACAAUUUCCAAACUUUCCAGUCAGGAACUGUAUUGCAAAAUCAUGAUUCUGGACAGUUUUUUGUAGAACAAAACAAAUAAACAUAAUCUGAAGUUGAACAUCUUGAAACGCAAUAAAAC